rnacentral:misc_RNA from 1 species
GAGCACGUUCAGAUAUACAGCUUUGGCAGGCAAAGUGCGGCGAAAAACGGGGGCUUACGAUUGCGUCCGUCGUUCUAAAGGUAUUUUUCGAUCAGUCUUUCCGUGUUGGAUCACUCGACGAACCGCAGCUGAAAAUCACAGCUUCAUUGCGAUCGACAUCAGACGACGAGACGCGCCCGCACGAACGAGCGUUCGUAGCCCCGCGGUACCCUGGUGCAGUGCAGACAUUCCGUCCAGGAAGCAUCUCGUUGCCUUACAUGGACCAUGAUCAAAUCACAUGUGAUUCUGGUUUUCGAUCUUUUGGUUUCAAGGCAACUGGUGGAAGCAGCAGUUCGCGCCUCGUGAUUGACGAGUCGCCCUACACACUGAUGCUACACGUUCACUGAACUUGCCACGUCAAAGAAUCGAUAUCGUUCGACAGGCAAAAUCCUGCUGUCUUUCUGGCCAUUGGCGAAACGGCAUUUGAAAGCAGCAUCACGGUAUCUGGCACGGGAUUUGCGCCCAGCAGCAUACAUCCCUUGUGCUUGCAUGGAAAACGGCCUUGAACUCGGACUUGAGUCAUUGCAGCGAUCAUUUCGAGUGCAGAUUGCGUCGUCGCUUUGCACAAAGGCACUGUAGACGUAUCGGAAUCACUCUUGGAUGCUUCUCUCGCCUUGGUUUCCGUUUGAUAUCUUUUUCAUCAUGGAAAACAUUGUGCGCCACAGAUCCUCUACCGAAUUGGACUGCUUGCACUUGCGCGUGCAGCAGACAGCGUACUAGUCCGCGAGGUUCCCUAGAAAAGGCCCGAGAUCAUAGAAUCCCGCCCCGUGACGCGGAAACGGAAGUGAGCAUCGACCGGAGGCGUCUGGCCGCCCGUCGAUUGCGGGUACCGAACGAUGAAGCGAGCGUUUACGGGCCCCAAGGCAGUGCUCAGAGGGCGCGCGUGCUAACGAUAUCCCGUGGAUAGACGGGAGCACCUCACCACACAGCAAUGCGUCACGAAUGCGACAUGCGCUCCGAGGCCGCACCCAAAGAAGAUGAACUCAGCGAGCAAAGCGUAGAUGGAAACUUCUGUCAGUCCAUGUCAUGCCGUGCCAGCAGCUGUGUGCGACGUUGUGGCGACUUCCUGAACACUGCCAUCAGCAUCAUUGGGCAGUCGACAUCGAGUCUGACAACAAAAGAGAGACCGGCGUUUUUCGAUCCAGGGAUCCGUGAGAGCGGAAAACCAAGCAGUCGUAGAGAAGCCCGCACCGGCCGAUGCUCAUGACACCGGAAAGAGGCUCAACAUUUUAGGGUGCACGCUCGAGUCAUCGCGACAGACGCGUCUCUUCUUAUCCUGGUAUGCGUACAUACCGGCAUCUCGCCGUGUAAACAGCGUUUGUGUUUGCACCCGAGUUGCCACCAUAUACCCGAUGCUGCCGUUCUGUCCGCAGUGGAGUAUUUCUGUGUGGUGUCGCCUCCGUGGAUCGCGUCAGGUUCCACGUGAAGGCGCGCGAGCUCUACGCAACCACGGAAACGACGAGCGUUGCUGUUGGCCUUGGCGUUCCUGCGUUCAACACGCUCAAAACCAGUCUUCGGGUUCAGCAUCGUGCCGUUGACGUAUCCACAGACGCCCGCGCGACGCCGUACCUCUCGCAGGCGCCAUUCGUCUCCGCUGCUACCCGAAUGACGGAUCCUCCUGAAGCGAGCGCGUUUCUUGCCCCAGAAUGCGAUGAACGCGUUGCACUUGCGAGCCAGCCGCUUUGUACGCUUCGUACCGACGCCAUACGUUCCCGGGUUUGCGGCCUGAUACUGCUGAUCGUAUCCAGUACUGGUUGCAUCGCACGUGUGAACGUGAGCAGCGCCGCGAUCGAGCGCGUCUUCCACAGCGCGGAAAAAGGCGAUGUGGCAAGGUCCGCUCUACCCACAAUGCCGGUAUCGCGUCAGAGUGGAGCGUCCUCGGGCGUUCGCUGCACCAUCGGGGACGCACUGCAGCGCUAUGCUUGUGGAGCUAGGCAGACUGUCUGCGGAAGCAGUCUCGCAACACAUCCAUGCAAGGUCCAGCUGGCUCGUUUAACCGCAAAUCCUAGGAUCAGCGUGUUUACUGCGCUCAUAGCGGCAGCGACAUACGACUUGAACAUCUCGAAGGUUCCGUUCGCUCAUGAAUACGGUGGUGAGGAUCAUCGCAACAGCCGCAUACGUCCCGAGUCCAGCCGAGCGUCUCGGGUGCCAAGCACUCUUCCCGCCCUCGCCACACGACGCAAAUGCGGUUCCUAGCGGAUAGCGCCUCGACUGAGAGAUCAUAAUCCAGAGCUCUUGAGCAGCUGGUGCUCCCGGAGCCCAUGCUGAUCGCUGUGUGCAUCCAAAAGGGCGCUCAAGGCUGGCGCCCCGACGCUGAGCGCAACCCCAAUCGCUUCCGUACCUGCUGCCGUUGCAGCUACUGCUGCUGCUGCUGCAGUUGCUGCCACGGGAUGCCGUGUUCACGGAAAGAUGCACGCUGGCUUCCAUUCGCGACCAGCCACAGUGCGUCCAGGGCGCAGUACUUGGUCGCGCCCGUAUGUUUAUUCGCGUACGGUUUCCGAGUGCUCUUUGGGCGUUGGGGGAUUCUCAGCAACCUGCUCCUGCUCCUCCUGCUCCUCCUCCUUGCGAAUCGCUUCAAUGACGUGUUGUCGAACACGUUCAAUGAGGGCGACUUUCCGACCAGAUGCUCCCAGCCCAUACGCUCGACAGUACUGACGCAGGGCCUGCAUCGGGACCCGAUCCAGACGUUCCAUCGCAACAAGCAUUCUCCAAUCGUAGUCAAGUCGCGCGAGUGCCUCGAGGGCCUCCACUCGAUCCUCAGGGAGAACCCGCCGUACGGUGCGUGGUAUUUUCGUGGCUGCGCUCUCUUCACUAGGCUCAGCCUCUGACUCCUCGUCUGGUGGAGGCGCCGGCAGAUCGACGAAUUUUCGAUCGAGCUUCUCGACCUCUUCUAAUCCAAAUUCUGUAGGCACGUCUCUAUUGAGCCAGCGGAGGUUCACAGUAAGCUUGCCUCGACCUGGGCUAACCGAGGCUACGACUCCUUCGUGACCAGCGAGGUUCCCCUGCCGCACCCUUACAAAGUCACCGGCCUGGAUUUUCAGCUCCUGCGAGACAAUGGAUGAUCCUACGGAGAUCUGAUCGAAUAUUCGACGCACUUCGCUCUCUGAAAGCGGUUGCGGUUGGACGAGACCGCGUCCGCCGACGACCCCACCCGCCCGCGAUCGACGAGCACGGUCCCGGCCUACGAACUGAACAACAUAGGCAGUUGAGCGAACAAACUCCCAGGUCUCCUCGUUUAGCACCAUCUCUACCAUGACAUAGCAAGGAAAAAC